AUUGAACGCUGGCGGAAUGCUUUACACAUGCAAGUCGAACGGUAGAGGGGCAACCCUUGAGAGUGGCGAACGGGUGAGUAAUGUAUCGGAACAUGCCCAGUCGAGGGGGAUAACGUAGCGAAAGUUACGCUAAUACCGCAUACGAUCUAUGGAUGAAAGCGGGGGAUCGCAAGACCUCGCGCGAUUGGAGUGGCCGAUAUCAGAUUAGGUUGUUGGUGGGGUAAAGGCCUACCAAGCCGACGAUCUGUAGCUGGUCUGAGAGGACGACCAGCCACACUAGGACUGAGACACGGCCCAGACUCCUACGGGAGGCAGCAGUGGGGAAUUUUGGACAAUGGGCGCAAGCCUGAUCCAGCCAUUCCGCGUGCAGGAAGAAGGCCUUCGGGUUGUAAACUGCUUUUGUACGGAACGAAACGCGCUGAGCUAAUACCUCGGCGUAAUGACGGUACCGUAAGAAUAAGCACCGGCUAACUACGUGCCAGCCGCCGCGGUAA
rnacentral:rRNA from 1 species